rnacentral:rRNA from 1 species
UACGAAGGGGGCUGGCGUUGUUCGGAAUUACUGGGCGUAAAGCGCGCGCAGGUGGUCUUUCAAGUCAGUGGUGAAAGCCCGGAGCUCAACUCCGGAAAUGCCAUUGAAACUGUAAGACUUGAGGAUGAGAGAGGUGAGUGGUAUUCCCAGUGUAGAGGUGAAAUUCGUAGAUAUUGGGAAGAACACCGGUGGCGAAGGCGGCUCACUGGCUCAUAUCUGACGCUCAGGCGCGACAGCGUGGGGAUCAAACAGG